rnacentral:rRNA from 1 species
UACGGGGGGGGCAAGCGUUGUUCGGAAUUACUGGGCGUAAAGGGCGCGUAGGCGGCCUGCUAAGUCGGAUGUGAAAUCCCUCGGCUUAACCGAGGAACUGCAUCCGAUACUGGCGGGCUUGAAUCCGGGAGAGGGAUGUGGAAUUCCAGGUGUAGCGGUGAAAUGCGUAGAUAUCUGGAGGAACACCGGUGGCGAAGGCGGCAUCCUGGACCGGUAUUGACGCUGAGGCGCGAAAGCUAGGGGAGCAAACGGG